ACGCGUUCGCUAGGAGCGCGCUAUGCGGUGAAGAUCAUUUUUAAGAGCGCUGUCCCGAUAUGGAACUACACCCGAAUAGCCCACCAAGGAGACGUUCUACUGCAACGUGAGAGAACGACAUAUGGAGUACGCGGAAGAUGCUGCGAUGCCGUUCGCACCGCUUUAGGGCUACCGUAUGUAUCGUGAUGGCUUCCGUCAUGUAUCAGCUGUGGAGGAGAUGUCCCUAUUCGUCACCUUGGUUCGGACAGGGACAGCGUUCGUGUCCGCCCCCUUGUAUCCCUGCGCUGCCGCGAUGGAUAUGCUGCGAUUGAGCAUGUGCUCUUAAUUUUGGUGUGAGGGAUACUGCUCCGACGGAGGGCGCUACCACAUGUUUUCGAGCCCACAAGCAAACCGACUCGAGGAAGGAGUUGUGGUCCGAGCCUAACAGCGCAUGCUUUCGUUCUCUCCGUGCCUGCCCGGCUCCUGUUCCACCGUUCCUCUGCCUCAGCGCCAUCCUUUCCAGUUUCAUCAUGACUGAGAUGAAUGAAGUUUCCCUGAUGGGCGAAGCUUUAGAGAUGAGCGUAGAAGAAUCAUCGCUGCAAGCGACAGGGGACGGCAAGGAGGGCCUGAAGCUUUCCUUACAAGGCUAGAAGGGAAGGGCGAGCUGCUACAUGAUGACAAAGAAGAUAGAAACCCGAGACUAUAGGACAAUUAAGGACGAAAAAAAAAGAAGAAAGAAAGAAAGAGAAACAUU